rnacentral:tRNA from 1 species
GCCGCGGUAGCUCAGCUGGGAGAGCGUAAGACUGAAGAUCUUAAGGCCGCCGGUUCGAUCCCGGCCCGCGGCA